CUCGUUCGCUUGCUGAGGGCAAAUGAAGUGAAUAUGCGAAUCGAUCCCACCAGCAGUCACAAUCUUGCCCUCCCCUGCAAUGACAUCCGUACAGCUGCCAACGAUCAUGCCUGGCGUAACGCCAUCCAUGACAUCCGGGUUUCCCGCCUUGCCGAUGGCAACGAUGAGGCCGUUCUUGACGCCAAUAUCGGCCUUGUAGAUGCCACUCCAGUCCACAAUCAGAGCAUUCACGAUUACCAGGUCCAAAGACUCCGCAUCGGGACAGCCGCUCAUCUGGCCCAUGCCCUCGCGGAG
rnacentral:sRNA from 1 species